rnacentral:rRNA from 1 species
GAUGAACGCUGGCGGCGUGCCUAAUACAUGCAGGUCGAGCGAACAGAUGAGGAGCUUGCUCCUCUGACGUUAGCGGCGGACGGGUGAGUAACACGUGGAUAACCUACCUAUAAGACUGGGAUAACUUCGGGAAACCGGAGCUAAUACCGGAUAAUAUAUUGAACCGCAUGGUUCAAUAGUGGAAGACGGUUUUGCUGUCACUUAUAGAUGGAUCCGCGCCGCAUUAGCUAGUUGGUAAGGUAACGGCUUACCAAGGCAACGAUGCGUAGCCGACCUGAGAGGGUGAUCGGCCACACUGGAACUGAGACACGGUCCAGACUCCUACGGGAGGCAGCAGUAGGGAAUCUUCCGCAAUGGGCGAAAGCCUGACGGAGCAACGCCGCGUGAGUGAUGAAGGUCUUCGGAUCGUAAAACUCUGUUAUUAGGGAAGAACAAAUGUGUAAGUAACUAUGCACGUCUUGACGGUACCUAAUCAGAAAGCCACGGCUAACUACGUG